CAGGAGGGAGCCUAAAUCAGGAGGCUCACCCUGGAGACGCCCUGGCCACAAGCAGCCCCAAAACUCCAGAGCCCAAGAGGAAUCAGAUUAAAAUGGUCUCUCCUGCCACCUUGUGGACAGAAGCGAACACCAAAAGCUCUUCAGCCCUUUCCACCGGGGAGCAUCACCUGUUUCAAAAGCAAUCACAGGACUAUCGAAUGCAUAACCUACAAGAGGUUUAGUCCACCCUUCUAGUUUGGGGAGAGGAAGAGGAAUUUCAGCCCAGAGAAGAGUAGGCCAGGGCUCAAAGGACCCUACGUCCCGACGCUCAAGGAAGAAGGCAACUUUGAAGUCACGAGACUUGGGUUCAGAUUCUCUCUUUGCUGCUCACUAUUGGAUCCUCUCUGGAAGUGUCCCUACAACCAACCAAAGGAAGUCCCUUCUACAGGUGAGGAUGUCCUUUGGAGUAUCAGAAGUACCUGGAAGACAGACCAGAAUCUACCAGAAUCCUAGAACUGGAAGGGAUCUCCAAGGCCUCUAGUCCAAUUCACAAAAGAACCAGAAUCGUCUUGAAAACAUGCCUGACAAGAGGUCACUCAAGUUCUGUAUGAAGACCUCCAAAGAAGGAACUCACCACCUCCUGGGUCAGAUCAUCAUGCCUUUGGAGAACUCUCAUCAUUAGGAACCUUAUUCUAACAUCAGAUCCAAAUUUACUUCUUUGGAGCUGUCCCUCUGCUCCACAGUGUCCUUCUAGAACCCAUGGGAGUAGGGCUACUCCCUCUUUCUAGGGACAGUGCAUCCAACACUUGGAAUCAAGGAUCAAGGAAUCGAUGAUACUAAGCAUCACCUGUAAAAUGGGCACAUUGUCCUAAGUGAGAUCUAAAGAGCCUCCUAGCUCUAAAUCUUUGGGCUCCUACAGAUCAAGACAUCUGACCUACGUCACACCUCUAGUCCUGGAGAACUCUCAGUCCCACCCCCAUUAUCUUAUCUGGUCUUUGACACAGCCCCCAGGAGGUAGACAAUACGUGUGUCAUUGUUAAUCAUUUGUUUUUUUUUAAUUAUAUGAUUCUUUUAUUGAUAGUGGUAAUGACUAGCACUUCGAGUGUCGGACUUGGAAUCAGGAAGAUCUAAAUUCAAAUCCUGCCUCAGACAUUUUGCUAGAACCCUAGUCAAAUCAUUUAACUUUUCCAACUUCAGCUUUUUCAUCUGUAAAAUGAGGAUAAUAAUUACACUUCCCUCACCAGGUUGGUUGUACCAAAUGAGAUACUUUGUAAAAUGGAAACAAGGAGAAUAACACAUCUAACUUUCACAGUGAAUUUCUUUUGAGAGUAGAAACAAACGAACAUUAAGGUGUUGAUAAACCAAUGUCCAGACACCAUGCAACCAUUGAAAGGGACUUUCAGGCAUUUUUCAAUCCAAUGGGACCAAUUGUUUUUUUGGCACAAGUACUGGAGUGAUUUGCCAUUUCCUUCUCCUGAUCAUUAUUUUAAACCCUUACCUUCCGUCUUGGAGUCAAUACUGUGUAUUGGUUCCAAGGCAGAAGAGUGGUAAGGGCUAGGCAAUGGGGGUUAAGUGACUUGCCCAGGGUCACACAGCAAGAAAGUAUCUGGGGACAGAUUUAAACCCAGGACCUCUAGACCUGGGUCUUGACCCACUAUGCCACUUAGCUAAAGUCGCUCACUCCCUGGCUCCAACCCACUUUUCUGGGCUUAUUAUACAUGACUCCCACUUACCCACUUUUCAGUUGAAUCAGACUGCCUUCUAGAGGCUCCUCACUCAGGAUUCUCCAUCUUCCAUCUUCUCGUACAGAUUCUCCUCCCAUUCCCGGCAUGCCUUCCUCAUCUCUGUCUCUUACAAUCUCUCAUCUCCUUCAAAGGUCAGCUCAAGCUCUGCUUUCUUGGUGAGGUCUUUCUGUGGCUCCUCCAUGUACAAGUGUCCCUCUUCCCCCAAUUAACUUGUUGUACCCAUUCUGUAUUUAUUGAUAGGGGCUCAUUUAGGUCCAUAUCACCUCUCUCUACGCUCCUCAAGGGCAUGGACUAAGGAUCUGACUAAGGAUCCACAG